rnacentral:rRNA from 1 species
AGUGAACGCUGGCGGCAGGCCUAACACAUGCAAGUCGAACGGAUGAAGAGUGCUUGCUCCCGGUUACGGCGGGGGACGGGUGGGUGAGUCAUAGGAAUCUGCUUGGCAGCGGGUUAUAACGUCCGGAAACGGGCGCUCAUACCGCAUACGCCCAGACGAAGAAAGGGGGGGAUCUUCGGACCUCAGGCCAUCAGAUGAGCCUAGGUCGGAUUAGCUAGUUGUUGGGGUAAAGGCCUACCAAGCCCACGAUGCGUAACUGGACUGAGAGAAUGAUCAGCCCCACUGGAACGGGAACACGGUCCAGACUCCUACGGGAGGCAGCAGUGGGGAAUAUUGGACAGUGGUCGCAAGCCUGAUCCAGUCGUCCCGCGUGUGUGAAGAAGGCCUUCGGUUUGUAAAGCCCUUCUUCUGGGUGGGAACCGCAGUAAGUUAAUACCUAGCUGUUGUGACGGUACCCACAGAAUAAGCACCGGCUAACUACGUG